rnacentral:rRNA from 1 species
UUCCAGACUCCUACGGGAGGCAGCAGUGGGGAAUAUUGCACAAUGGGGGAAACCCUGAUGCAGCGACGCCGCGUGAGCGAUGAAGUAUUUCGGUAUGUAAAGCUCUAUCAGCAGGGAAGAAGAUGACGGUACCUGACUAAGAAGCCCCGGCUAACUACGUGCCAGCAGCCGCGGUAAUACGUAGGGGGCAAGCGUUAUCCGGAUUUACUGGGUGUAAAGGGGGCGCAGACGGCAGCGCAAGCCAGGAGUGAAAGCCCGGGGCCCAACCCCGGGACUGCUCUUGGAACUGCGUGGCUGGAGUGCAGGAGGGGCAGGCGGAAUUCCUGGUGUAGCGGUGAAAUGCGUAGAUAUACGGAGGAACACCAGUGGCGAAGGCGGAUUGCUGGACAGUAACUGACGCUGAGGCGCGAAAGCGUGGGGAGCAAACAGGAUUAGAUACCCCUGUAAAA